rnacentral:tRNA from 1 species
GCCCCUGUAGCUCAAUGGACAGAGCAAGCCCGUCCUAAGGGCGCGAUGGAGGUUCGAUUCCUUUCAGGGGCACCA